GAUGAAGAACGUAGCGAAAUGCGAUAAGUAAUGUGAAUUGCAGAAUUCAGUGAAUCAUCGAAUCUUUGAACGCACAUUGCGCCCCUUCGUAUUCCGAGGGGCAUGCCUGUUCGAGCGUCAUUAUAACCCCUCAAGCUCAGCUUGGUGUUGGGGCCUGCUGCACUGGCAGCCCUUAAAAUCAGUGGCGGCGCCAUCUGGCUCUAAGCGUAGUAAUUCUUCUCGCUAUGGAGUCCUGGUGGAUGCUUGCCAUCAACCCCCAAUUUUUCUAUGGUUGACCUCGGAUCAGGUAGGGAUACCCGCUGAACUUAAGCAUAUCAAUAAGCGGAGGA
rnacentral:misc_RNA from 1 species